rnacentral:lncRNA from 1 species
CGAUCCAUCAUCCAAGAUGGCCGCCAGCGGGGGACUUAGUUUAACAUAGGACCCUAUGGGAAAUGCAUACAAAUGACUUCUUCUAGAGAACCACUGAAUGGAAUGAAACCAAACAUAGCAUGAAUGUUCCUUAUGGAGUGCUGACCAAGUGUUGUUACUUUGUAGCCGAUCCAUCAUCCAAGAUGGCCGCCAGCGGGGGACUUAGUUUAACAUAGGACCCUAUGGGAAAUGCAUACAAAUGACUUCUUUUAGAGAACCACUGAAUGGAAUGAAACCAAACAUGGCAUGAAUGUUCCUUAUGAGGUGCUGACCAAGUGUUGUUACUUUGUAGCCGAUCCAUCAUCCAAGAUGGCCGCCAGCGGGGGACUUAGUUUAACAUAGGACCCUAUGGGAAAUGCAUACAAAUGACUUCUUUUAGAGAACCACUGAAUGGAAUGAAACCAAACAUAGCAUGAAUGUUCCUUAUGAGGUGCUGACCAAGUGUUGUUACUUUGUAGCCGAUCCAUCAUCCAAGAUGGCCGCCAGCAUGGGACUUAGUUUAACAUAGGACCCUAUGGGAAAUGCAUACAAAUGACUUCUUUUAGAGAACCACUGAAUGGAAUGAAAUCAAACAUGGCAUGAAUGUUCCUAAUGUGGUGCUGACCAAGUGUUGUUACUUUGUAGCCGAUCCAUUAUCCAAGAUGGCCGCCAGCAGGGGACUUAGUUUAACAUAGGACCCUAUGGGAAAUGCAUACAAAUGACUUCUUUUAGAGAACCACUGAAUGGAAUAAAACCAAACAUUGCAUGAAUGUUCCUUAUGAGGUGCUGACCAAGUGUUGUUACUUUGUAGCCGAUCCAUCAUCCAAGAUGGCCGCCAGCAGGGGACUUAGUUUAACAUAGGACCCUAUGGGAAAUGCAUACAAAUGACUUCUUUUAGAGAACCACUGAAUGGAAUAAAACCAAACAUGGCAUGAAUGUUCCUUAUGAGGUGCUGACCAAGUGUUGUUACUUUGUAGCCGAUCCGCCAUCCAAGAUGGCCGCCAGUGGGGG